AUUUUUAUUUACUAAAAUAUAAAUACAGGCAUACCUCGUUAUUGCAGCAGUUAUGUUCCAGACUACUGCUAUAAAAUAUGUUUACAGUAUUAUUCACUAAAUGCACAAUAGUGCUAAGCCUAAAUAACUCUGCUGGAUGGUCACCUUGGAGGAUCCAGGUUCGAUUUCAGAUCUUACCUCUUCAUUUUUUCAGGAUAUCUUUAGGCUUAACCCAUCUAUUUAUUCAUUUAUAUUUUUUAUACUUUUUCUAAAUAUUAUUUUGCAGAGAAUUUUCAUUUUGAAAUAUAAAAUAAAAAAUUGGAAUAUAAUUGAGAAGUGCCAUAUUAGCAAAAUGCUGUAAAGUGAGAUAUGCC
rnacentral:lncRNA from 1 species